AUGCUGAUUCACUUGCUCGUGAGUACAUGAAACACAGAGAACAUCAAAGAGGGAAAAUACUGACAGUUGGUGCACCUUCCAUCGAGCUGCCUGAAGGAAUUUCUCAGCAUGGGCAACUGACUUUCAGGAUGAACUGACACACCAGCUACAUUCUAUAAUCUUGGACUAAUUUGUUUUGUUUUGUUUUUUUAAUGCUUACAUGAAUAUAUAGCUUUCAGUUGUACAUGUAAUAUUUGAAUAAAUUCUUUUCAGUAUUAA